rnacentral:rRNA from 1 species
GACAUAGGCCUCAAGCGUUAGGCGGAAUCACUGGGCUUAAAGCGUGUGUAGGCGGAUGCCUAAGUACCUUGUGAAAUCCCACGGCUCAACCGUGGAACUGCUGGGUAUACUGGGCGUCUUGGGCCAUUCAGGGGCGACUGGAACAAGCGGUGGAGCGGUGAAAUGCGUAGAUAUCGGGAGGAACACCAGUGGCGAAGGCGGCUACCUGGCCCAUUCUUGACGCUGAGGCGCGAAAGCUAGGGGAGCAAACGGG